GCUUCAAUUUGUUUUUCUUUUUUGCCAUGGCGUUGUCAGUUUAUUUUGACUUGGUAAGUUUGAAUGCCUCUUGGGUAUUUUUUGCCUGUCUUUAUUCAUAGAGACAAUUUGUGUAAUAUUUUCCAAUUGAAAAGGGGAAAAGUAAAUACUGUAUAUGCUUAAAGCUAUUAAAACCAUCAAAAAGAAUAAUACAACAAACAUAGGUGUUAAAAAUUGUUUUUAAAGUCCAUUAUAUAUCAUGAAACAUUCAGUAUUUUGUCACAACAUCAUUUGUAGUUUGACGUUAGUCACUAAAAAUACGAAAAAACCAUGAUUGUAUUCGCAUUCAUCAGAAUCCACAGAUUUCCUCUCCCAUCAAUCGUUAUAGAUACUGGGUUGGUAAUGCCGUCUUCAGAACACAAAACAUUACGAAUUAAAUAGCCAUCAGAGUUCAAUAAGCAUACGCAAUUUUUGCCCGAGUCUGUCACAAAAAUAUUUCCAUGACGGUCCGUGCACAUGGAAGUAAAUUUCGAACCGUGCUGUUUAUAUGAAUGUAGACGGUCACCAGACAAGGUUAUUGCGAAGAUUUCAUCAUCAUAUGCGACUAAAAUUAUGUUUGUCUUGGUAUACAAGAUGCAUUUUGCCUGACUCGUAGCAUUUCGUUGCGAUAUUGCGUUACUAGUAAAAGUUCUUAGUGUCCUCCCAGUUCCUUCAAGUUCAUAGAAUGUGUUAUAAUACCCCAGAACCACCAUAUUUCCAUUGUUCAUAAUCCACGCGCAAUCAUGUUGGGAAAUAGAUGGUAACGUAUUUUCCCAUGGAUCUAUUUGUGUCUCAAAACUUUCUUCUCGUUGGAAUUGAAUUAUAUCAAUUUUAUUAUCUUUCCACAUAAAACAUUUUCCAACGUUUACGCCAAUGAUU
rnacentral:lncRNA from 1 species